ACCCUUGACUCUCUCUCUCUCCCCUAAAACCCAAUUCUUCCACCCAAACUCAACUGCCCAAAUCAUCUCUCUCUCCCAAAACCCAAAUCGGUCAAUCCAAAAUCAAUUCCCCCAAAUCCUCUAGCUCCCUCCCCCCUCUCUCUGUCUCCAACGGGGUCGAGAAAGAGAUUAGCCGUAUAUAUAUAGUUUUAUGUACAUAGAGAUACAAAUGAUAUAAAGAAGUUUAUUACCGGCGAACAAAAGUAAAAGUGUAAACAACAAAACUUGAAUUUGGGUUUAGUGAAAUAUCCAUUUCGUUAGGUUUAUAAAAUGAUAGAGGUCUAAGAAAAAGAAAACCACCCACCCCGAACUAAAGGGGAGGCACGUAAAAACUGAUUUUUGCAACUUUGCUGUUUGAUAGAAAAGCUUUAUUCUCUGCAAAGGAACAGUGGGAAAGCUUUAUUCUCUUAGAGCAUCUCCGGUGGACUCAGCUCUUCUCCCUUUUCGGCUCUUCCCCGAGCGAAACCCAUCAAAACCCUCGGCCAACAGCCUCGUCUCCCACCUCGUCUCCUCCGCGACUGCUACAGUACCACGUCAAUCCUGGCGUGCUACUGUAGCCUCGUCUCUCUCUCUCUCUCUCUCCGCCUUCAAAGACACAGAUCUGAGCCCGCAAACCACUGUAUUGUCGUCGUCUCCCUCGCUGUCGUUGGCUCCAGCGAAGACGGUGGUGGUGGUGGCUGCUGCUGGUGGUGGUGGUGGUGGGAAGGGGUGUUAUGAUUUUGAUUUUUUUAAGGAGUUUUGAUUUUUUUAAGGAGUUUUGAGAUUCAAGUAGGCAUUUGCUUAGACUGUUGGAAGAGAGGUGUAUUUUGUGAGUAGUCAAAGUAGAAUUUUGGUGUUUUGAGUAGUUAUUUUGCUUAGGAUGCACCCGAGGCCGUUGGAGAUGCUCUUAUGGUGGGUCGACCCAGUCGACCAGUCAGAUCCGUUUGGACUGAUCACUGAAGACGUUAGAUUAUAGGGCAAAUUUUAGUAGUCGUCCUUAUAAUUUUAUGUUUGUCUCGAUUUUGUCUAUCUAGUUUCAAUUGUAACCAAAUAAACCUUGUAAUUUGUUUUUCGUCUCAAUUUGGUAAAAUCAUUCCCUGUGUGAAUGAAACUAACAGAAAA